GAAUUAAACGCGAUUCCGCGAGGGUGCCCCCCUUUAGAAAUCACAUUGCGGAACACACUAUAGUGUAUAUAGAUAUAUAUGUAUAUUGUACAUAUUCUAUUUUUAUACGGUUGAAAAAACGGGAUAAAUGACUUUUUUACAACAGAUUCGAUUGACUGAGAGUGACAAUACGGUCGCGACUGUCCGCAAAGAAACGGCAGACAGAUCGAUAUAGUAGAAAGUUAAAUUUUUUUUGUAUACGGAUUAGGUAGGUCCAACAGAGUCCAACAUUACCGAUGGGUAGAACAGAUAUGUCAAAAACGCUGAACGCUUAUAGAAUCAAAAAAAUAGAAAAUAUUGGUAGAAUGACGGCCAUGACGCAGGAAGAAAUUAUGGCUGGUGCCAGAAUUGUGGCCCAGGGUCUGGAAGCCCUCCGCGUUGAGCACGGGGGACUUCUGCAAGCCCUACAGACCCAGGACGCACCAGUCGCAAGAGAUAAAGCCAGCUUGUUGUCAAAGAAUAUUGAGAUGAUAGAGUUGGGCCUGGGUGAGGCACAGGUCAUGAUGGCUCUUGCGAACCACCUACAAAUGGUAGAGGCUGAGAAACAAAAACUUAGGACGCAAGUGAGAAGGUUGUGCCAAGAGAACGCCUGGUUGAGAGAUGAAUUGGCUGGAACGCAGCAAAAAUUACAAGCCAGUCAGCAAGCACUAGUCCAGUUGGAAGAACAGAAGAAACAUUUAGAUUUUAUGGAGAGUAUAAAGCAAUACGAUCCUGAUCCUUCUGCUGAUGACGAGAAUGCUAAAGAUCGGCCACCGGAUGAUCCUGUGGUCGAUCUAUUCCCUGACGAUGAUGCGGACGACCGAAACAGUAAGUCCAUUUUACCAACACCGCCUUCGCAAUUUGCACAACAAGUAAACGCUGGAUAUGAGAUACCUGCGCGCUUGCGUACGCUGCAUAAUUUGGUUAUACAGUACGCAAGCCAAGGUCGUUAUGAGGUGGCUGUCCCUUUGUGUAAGCAAGCGUUGGAAGAUUUGGAAAAAACUUCUGGUCACGACCAUCCCGAUGUCGCCACGAUGUUGAACAUCCUUGCUUUAGUAUAUAGAGACCAAAAUAAAUAUAAAGAAGCAGCAAAUUUAUUGAACGACGCCUUAGCUAUUCGUGAAAAAACACUGGGUGAAAAUCACCCUGCAGUCGCUGCUACGUUGAACAAUUUGGCUGUUUUAUAUGGAAAGCGGGGCAAAUACAAAGAAGCUGAGCCGUUGUGUAAACGCGCUCUUGAUAUCCGAGAGAAGGUUCUCGGACGUGAUCACCCUGACGUCGCGAAGCAGUUGAAUAACCUCGCGUUGCUUUGCCAGAAUCAGGGUAAAUACGAAGAGGUGGAACGCUAUUACUUGCGAGCACUAGAGAUCUACGAAGGCAAACUUGGACCGGACGAUCCUAAUGUUGCGAAAACGAAAAACAAUCUGGCAUCGUGUUACUUGAAACAAGGAAAGUACAAGGAUGCGGAAGUUUUGUACAAACAAGUAUUGACCAGAGCACACGAGAAAGAGUUUGGUGCUAUAGCCGGCGACAACAAGCCAAUCUGGCAGGUUGCUGAAGAAAGGGAAGAGAAUAAACAUAGAAAUAAAGAGAAUGCUCCAUACGGAGAAUACGGAGGUUGGCACAAAGCUGCUAAAGUGGAUUCACCUACAGUCACGACUACUCUAAAGAAUCUUGGUGCACUGUAUCGAAGACAAGGAAAAUACGAGGCAGCGGAAACUUUAGAAGAUUGCGCUCUCAGAUCACGAAAAGAGACAUUGGAGUUCGUGAAGCAAGGGAAAGUCGCGCAAAUUUUAGGGGAAGAAAAAGGAUCGACGAGACGCGGCUCGCGAUCCAGCUUGGCAAACAGCGAACACGAACAACAUGACGAGGGCUCGCUGCCGCUGGUACAAAGGGCGCUACAUGAAGGACAGUCCGGCCACAACGACGCUAGUCCUAACAAACCCGGUUUUAAAAACAAGAUCUUCCAAGCUUUCGGGAUUCAUUCUUCCACGUAGGAUAUUCUUCGUUUGUAGUAUUGCCUCGUUCGAUUUAUGCCCGGUUGCACGGUGAUUUUCGGUGUAUGUCGCAUCGAAAAGUCUAUAUUUCUAGAACGAAGAUGAAUUUAAAAGAUGCGUCUGUUUGGGAGAAGUUAUAUUUAGGUAUCCGUUUUUAAAUUUCACGAUAGUGUAACACGCUGAGGAAUUCGCGAUCUUUUGCAAACUGUCUUGAACAAUUCCUCUCAAAUGCAAGCAUUUAUAGGAAUUUAUACAUUUUUUGGACAUAGGUACGGGCCUUUGACAAUUUUUUGGGCAUUUUGAUAUACUGCUUUUCUCGCAGCCAGAUAUCUCCUAAUUGACAAUGACGACAGCACAUCAUAACUGCACAUUCUUUUACUAUACGAGUAUUUCCAUAAUUGUUCGUUACUAUUUCCAUUUGCUUCUCUUUUCUUAUCUGAAGUAUCACGUAGAAAAACCAUACAGUCUUUUAUAAAUCACUUCCACUUGUAAGCUGUGAUAACGAUGCCCUUUCAUUAAUUUCUCUACGUCUUGUUUUCGUCGAAUUUUGGUUUUCAAGUGAAAUAUCGAGGAUAUUUUUUUAAAAGAAAGAAAAAACCGAUAGGUGCUUUCUACGAAGCAUUUUAUUUUUUACCACAUUGCAUUAUUUGUCUGUAAUUAUUAUUAUUAUUAUUAUUAACCGUUUGAAACUUUUUACGCUUUUAUUAUACACAAUCAUAUAGAAAGCAAUUAGGAUAAAUCAAUAAGCUUCCAGAGACAAUAUUAUUCAUAAUGAAAUUACACGCGUUGAUCGUUUCACGUGUUUAGAACGAUAAAACAAUUUUUUAUGCUCGAGCUAUAUUUUUUCUUGUAAGCCAGACCAUUGUGAAACACGCACACGAAUUACAAAGUAGUCAAUACUAGCAGCGGCUUUUGCUUAACUAUAUAGCUCAGUAUAGAUUUGCAAAGGUGAUGAUUUCAUGAUGAUCAAUGUGCAGAGAAGUUUAAUAAUCUAUCUAACAAUUUGCAGUUCAACGAUGCGAAGAAUUGUUUUCUGUAACAGGUUGUCCUUGCGAUACUCUCGUAUAGUUUUUAAAUUUUUAACAUCAGAGAAGACAAUUCUCUUCAGAUCCCCGGGAUGACUCGAGUCAUCGCUUUACAUCAAUUUACAUUCGCUUCUUUAUUCUACUAUAAUUAACAUGAGUUUAAUCUUACGUAUUUUCCUCAUUCUUUAUAAAGAAAAGAAACAUUUCAUCUGGCGUAGGAUCACAUUUGAUCCUAUAUUUUUAACACGAUGUGAGGUGUCUCGAAGUUUCUUCAAUGUUUUUAACAUUUCUCUUCGAAAAGUAUUACGUACUUGUUAAGGAUGCAAUUCGUGUUGUAUGUAUUUAUUUACAUAUAUAUGUAUGUUUUUAUUUUAAAACUAUUCUCAUUUGUGUAGCAAAUGAUUAUUAUGUUAAAUUAUUAUGACUAUUAUAUUAUAUUUAAAAAAAAUAGAUCUCAAGAGCAUGCGUUUAAGAAAAAGACUUUCUUGUUCGGGACACCUUGUAUCCCAUUUUUUUUAUCUCUCUUUAUUAAUCUCUAACUGCGUUCUAAACGUCGAAUCUUUCUAUUCAGAUGUGAAAGAAGGAUAAACGAAUAAAAAUGUCCUGUUAUCAUUCGAUUGUAUGUGGUACAAUAUUUUCUGAACUUCGUCGAUUAGCUAUUACGAAAGCUGGAUUAUUUAAUAUAAGUAGUGCCUUGAGACUUCAACGAGUGAAUGAAUAAAUUAUUUUUUAACUGAACAUGGUUGUUCCUGGUUGUCACUCGAUUAUGUGUAUGGGUUUCUCGUGUACCAUGGAGUUAUAAUCCUUAUCACAUUCUGUGUCACACUCUCUUUCUCUCUCUCUCUCUCUCUUUGUGUGUUUCCCUUUUAUUUGUUACAUAGUCAAUCCCAUAUGUAGGGGACACCACCCUUGUAUGAAAUCAAGAAUGCGUACAUGGUUUGCAUUAUUAAUAUGUCCUCGCACGUCAUUUGUGUUUUUUUUUUUAACCACCAUUGUUAUCAGUCGUUUUUCGAUAUCUGCGUUGUCGUUUUGUUUCGCUUUGAUUUGAGUACUCUGCGGGCCGGGACUUAGAUAAAAGGAUGUCACUUCUGGAGUACGAUUUACCGGUCUGGACAUCAAAAUACCGGGACGAAACUAGACCGGGUCUCUGUAGCAGGACCGGAAGUAUUACGUUCGUGCGCAAUAAAGGGAUACCCUGUAAGAGAGCUAUACGCGAAACGAUAACGCCAGGAUGAUAAAAAAAAAAAAAGAAAGAAAAAAACGGGCUCUGCAUUGUUUAAUCGAAACAUUGACUGACGUCCGUUCUAUCUGAAUCGUUUAACGUGUAACAGCACAUUCCAGCUGCUUUUCUCAAUCAAUCAGACGCACCGUAAAAAACAGAAGUACUCCAUGUUGCUGCUCGUGCUCGAUACACGGGAAUUACGGCUUCGUGCAUUCUAGCGACUGACCUGUUUUUGGAAUAGAAAAGAAAACGGAAAAAAGAAAAGGAGAAAUGAACAGAAUGUUCGCAAGGCGAAUUGGUCUAUCCCGCUUCGUACGUGUAUCUGAAUCAAAAAUCCGAAUUCAAGCUAAUCAUACUUUUUUUUUGUUUUGUUUCUCUUACGUUCUACAUAUUUUUGAUCUUCUCGAAUGGCAGAAGAGAUUCAUCGCAGUGAAGCUACGUUGACCUAACGGAAAGUAAGAAAAAUCGCCGACGUUACCCGAUUCUUUCCUCGCAUUGUACAGGAAAAAAAAAAAAGAAACGACGAACGAGUUUUCUUCUCAUUAUACGUCCAUACUUGCAUCUAUAUGCAUCUAAUCAGGCCGUACACGCGUAUACAUAUCCCUUUCACGGAUCACUAUAUCAUACCGAAGACUACGUGUAAUCAUUCCACGAGCUGUGUUGCUUCUUUGGAUCGAGACGCGCUCGGAUAGACUGAAGAAGAAAAAAAAAAAAAAAAGGCAGUCACAUUUAAACAUAGGGGGAACAUUUGUAUGUCGCUUAGCAUUAUUGAAUGUAUUCUUACAAACACACCACCCACGGAUAUACAAACACGAGAACACACACACAUACACCACGUGCACGUUAGAAUAAAUAUAUUCAUCGUCAUAUUAACGAUUGUAACAAGAUAAAAAGGGAGAGAACCGCGCGUUUCCCUUUACCUUUCGUGUCUCAGAGUUCAAUUGUGCAAAUGAUAAUGUAUAAAUGGUAGUGGAGAGGUCCAAUCUGCCCGGCGACGUUUGAUUUCUCUGUCUUAUAUUUAUAAAUAAUUGUACGCUGAAGUACUUAUACGUCAUACAUUAUGUCAUACGUACUCACAGAUAUUUAAUUUAUUCAUUAUAAAGUUUGAUUCGUUGUUUGAACGACGACGUUAAUGCAGACAUGAUGGAUAUUAUACGUUGUAUUAUAAGCUCGUGAUUGUUUAAAUUAUUUCGAAGCGGAGCGAGUGUGGGAAAUUUGUUAUCGUUCUUCUUGUUUCUUUUCAAUUUUACAAGAACGCAUGGAACGAGGAUUUCUUCUUGUAGCAAAAUUUAUAAAAUUAACGCGCUUUGAACAUCGUUAUUGCCAUUUAAAGCCAAAAAUCAUAUGACCGGCUGUGAAUUGAAAAAAAAAAAAUCUGAGCCUGAGAAAUCCUUUAAUCGUUGAGCAGUUACGACGACGAUAGAAUGAUAAUCGUUUGAAUUAGUCGAGUCCUUACGGUACACGUACUUGAGCUUUGUUUAAAGACCUCACGUUUUCGUUUUCGAACGAAAUAUCGCAUUCAGCAUCAAUUUUAUGCAACACAUGUGUCACUUGUAAACUCUUUUAAUUGCGAAACCAGUUGCUACAAUGGCUGAUCGUUGUACCACUCUGUUACAUUCAGUCGCUAUAGUAAUUGUAGUCUAUUCUAUAGCCACUCGGUGAACAGAAUUACACGAACAAGCAUGGAAAUCAUUAUCGCGAGUGUUUAACAAUCAAUGCAUAUUGUAAUUGCAAAUACAACGCAAAGUAAUUAUUAUAGUUGCCGAUGGAAAGCAACUUUAAUCAGUUAUACAUACAUAGAAAAUGUUACGGCAGAUAAAGUAGCGAAUGUAAUCUAUCACGCGACGUAUUUUCAUCACUGCAUGGUGACAACGAACGAAAUAAUCUCGCAGAAAGUUAUUGAUUAAUUAUUAUUGUAUUAUUAUAAUACUUAUUGCAUCAAAAUAACGUAUUAAAUUGAAGAAAAAAAAGAGCAACUUUCGCGCGGUGGCCGCUUGCUUGUUACAAGCACUUGCUUUGAAGUCUUGCUUGUUUACAAGACUCUAUUCGCAUAUAUGCGAGCGUUGAAUAACUAAGAGAAAAUUAAAAAAAAAUUUUUCGAAAUAGAAGAAGUUUUCGCAGAAGCUUUAUUAACGUGAGUUCUAUUGGACUGGCCUAGUUCAAAAGAUUUACGAUUACACCUUGGAUAUCUUGGUGUACAGGAAUCAUUUACAGUCGUAGCGACGAUAUGGUUUUAUGAUUUCGUGCAAUUUUCCAAUCAUUCUUUUCUUUUUUCUUUUUUUUUUUACUCGAGGCUACGGAAUACGACCUUGGUGUUCAAUCCUGCGUUCAUCGACGAUGAUUAUUAAUCGUUUCUUCAAAUGAUCGUUCGUUCCCUCUCUGUCAUUAAUUAUUCAUUCUCGUAGUACGUCAUUUUUUUCAUUUAAGUUUUCAUGUGUGCUCUCAUUGCCUCGGAAACGAACAUGCAUUUAUUGAACAUACGCUACCAUAUAAUGCGCCUGAGAGCUUGAAGGCCUAGGGUUAGUCGUUUUUACUCAGCUUUGGAUUUUUAUUUAUUUCUUCGUUCUUCACGAUUGCCCUUAACACUGCACGGCGUAGCGUACUCGAAGAAUAAUUCUUUUUUCACAGUUCAGCAGCUGGAUUUUAACUGGUAUUUUUAAGUGCAAUCCGCGUGCAAUCGAAUUAAGAUUUCUCUAUGUAAACUUGCACUACUAUGUGUAUUUAUACAUUUGUCUUAAUUCUUAUUCUUUGCUUAAACUUUACGCACUUAUUUGUACGAAAUCUGUAAUCUGAAUGUUUAAUUGUUAAGCAUUAAUUUUAAGCUAAAACUUUUUUAAUUCUGGUAAUUUAUUUUUAGAUCUUAUUCGGCAAAAAUCUUGUAUAUAGUGAGCGGCAAAAGACACGUGUAAAUUUUUAAUCGCUUUUAUUCACGAUUUUUAAUCCUCGUUAAAUACUUUUUAAUAAUUUUAUUCUUUUGGAACAAAAGGGAUUAUCGUAGUUUCUUAAGGAAAUUUAUUUUUUGAGUGAAUUUCAAAUGGGUUGUAGAUCAACGUUAAUCGAUGAUCUACUUCAUAGUCGAGCUAUAGUUGUGAUAAUAUUAGGAAUAAAGUUUUUUCGUCCCCCACUUAUCGUCGAAAGUAGUCGCUUUAUUUUGUAAAUUGUUUAAGGUAUUGCAGCUCUCAGGUGCAAGUACUGUUAUUUAAAUAAUAUGUAAGUUUUGAUUUAUAAUAAAUAUUUCCACUUGUAAUCCUUGUUCGUAUGUCUCCUUCGCGUGGAAAGCAUCCGAGUGUUCCUUAUCGUAUAAUGAAUUCCAAAAGAUUAAGCAUUUGAAUAACAUUAUUAUUAUUGUAUUCGUGUUUUGGAAUUUUAUUAAAAUUUCGUUGGUAACAGACCCUCGUUUAUUUUUUUCUUUUUUUUUUCUCUUGGUUCUGUAUCUUCUACUCUUCGUUUCUCCCUCAUGUAGUUUUCAAACAUUGCAUUUUUUCAUAGUGUCGAGCUUGUUCAACUUUAUCAAUUUCUUAUUUAUCAAAAGUAAUAAUAGAUAAAGAAUUUCAUAUUAAAAAAUAUAAAAAUCCUUUUUCUGUUUUUCUCAUUAAGUCGUGUAACUUUGAUUGACAAACAAUUAAAAAAUGAAGGAUACAUUUCACAAGGAGGAUUUAUUAAUAAUCUUAUUAUGGAAAUAACUUUUAUGAAUAGAAUUUUAACAUGAAAUUCUUCGUUCAUUCCGUUUAUUAAUCGUAAUUACUGCAAAUCUAGGAAAAGAAGAAAUUUUUAUAAAAUUAAUACGAAAUUCUUCAUCCUUACUUAGAGUAAUUAUUUCUAUUUGCACUGUGUGCCUUUGUACUCUAAUAUUAAAAUAAAGAGAACUUGUAAGUAUAAAUAGAACUAUUCUUUAUGGAGUUUCUUGUUCUUUUUAUUCUUACAAGUUUCUUUUGCAUAAUUUACUAUUAGAGCAUACAAAUAGGAACAGGUAUACUAAUAUGUAGAUAGUUAUGCUUAAUUUUUGAUUUUAGUAGAAAUUCACUAAUCUAAUCAUUUGUAGCUCAGAUUACGCUACUUCAUACAAUAAUAUCACAAGCUGAUAAGAUUGGUCGGUUAUUUAUAACAUCACAAACGGAGCUAUAAAUACCGAUAGUCUGUUCACCGAUAAUGUUUCGUCCAUCAUCUUGAUUGCCAGACGGCACAAAUGCGCGCUCUUAUAAAUACCAAAUGAAAGAUUUCGAUGCAAAUGUAACACACAUUUGCAUCGUCGGUGCUAUUGUUAACUUCGUAAUCAUCUUCUUCUCCUGGUACAAAUCUAUUUCUUUAAUCACGCGAUCGUUACACUCGCAGAACACUGCAAAAACAAAAAACGAAUGAAAUGAGAAACAAGACAAUAGUGAGCAUAAUUUUCGCUGCGUACGAGAUUUUAUUACAUAAUUAUUCGUGAGACUGCAUCAGCCAUUUGUUCCAUCCACUGUUUCGAAUUAUAGAAAAGUUUUUAUUGAGCAUAGUGUUACACGUUACAAUAAGUAAUGAUAAUCAAUAAUCGUAAUAAAGAAUGAGAAUAAUCGAUAAUCAAUGAUAUUACCUUAUCUGUUCUUUCUUUUUUUUUUUUUCUCUCUCUUUUCUUCUUUUCAACAAGUAGAAACUAUCACGUGAAAAGUUACAUUUAUAAAAGGGUAAUAGACAGACAGACAGACAGACAGGUAGAACAUAGAGAUGGAGAGAGAGAAAACGGUACCCUUUUACAAACUUCUGAUUUGUAUCGGCUUGACUAGCAUAUUAGAAGCAUUAACGUUACAAGUUAAUCGUAAUCAAUUAGAUUCGAUGAGAGGGGUUGUGUGGUGGGGAGGGAGAGAAGGGGUCGAAAGCACGUUUAAUGCGAAGAGGGGAGGGGGCGGGAUAUUAUUAAUUACGACAUUACAGGUAUUAAAAAUUCGCUUCGUAAUAAAUUAGAUACGACAUAUAAAGGAGAAAUUUAUACAUUUAUAAAUCGCUAAGUAAUUAUUAUUGUUACACGUACUCGUCGAGGGGCUACACAUACACCGUGUUACUUCUCAUCCUUUUCUUUUUUCCAUCUUUUCUUUCCCCCCCUUUUUUUUUUGCCCGUUUCCUCGUUAAGAGACAAUAAUAACAAUUGCAAGGCUGAUUUGUACGAGAGUUUCAUAGUAGUAAAAUAUUCGCUCCACGACUUACCCUCCCAACCCUUAUAUCUCAACCUCCGUGCAAACCUCCAAAAACACACACACACACACCGCAACGUGUGACGAAGAACUCUUGCUUUCGUUAUUCGAUUGUUCAUUUCUGGAGAGAGAGAGUGAGAGUGUGAGAGAGAUAGAUAGAGAGUGAGAUUAAUUAGUUCCACAGCCUUUUAUAAUAAUAUUUAGGUGAGCAAAUCAGCCUGGCAGAUUCGGAGAAAGGAAGAAGCGACACGCGCGCUUGUACACACACGCGACACA